rnacentral:rRNA from 1 species
GAGGUUAAGCGACUAAGCGUACACGGUGGAUGCCUAGGCAGUCAGAGGCGAUGAAGGGCGUGCUAAUCUGCGAUAAGCGUCGGUAAGGUGAUAUGAACCGUUAUACCCGACGAUACCCGAAUGGGGAAACCCAGUGUGUUUCGACACACUAUCAUGCAGUGAAUACAUAGCUGUAUGAGGCGAACCGGGGGAACUGAAACAUCUCAGUACCCCGAGGAAAAGAAAUCAACCGAGAUUCCCCCAGUAGCGGCGAGCGAACGGGGAGGAGCCCAGAACCAGAAUCAGUUUGUGUGUUAGUGGAAGCGUCUGGAAAGUCGCACGACAGAGGGUGAUAGUCCCGUACACAAAAAUGCACAGGCUGUGAGUUCGAUGAGUAGGGCGGGACACGUGUUAUCCUGUCUGAAGAUGGGGGGACCAUCCUCCAAGGCUAAAUACUCCUGACUGACCGAUAGUGAACCAGUACCGUGAGGGAAAGGCGAAAAGAACCCCGGCGAGGGGAGUGAAACAGAACCUGAAACCGUGUACGUACAAGCAGUGGGAGCACCCUUUGGGGUGUGACUGCGUACCUUUUGUAUAAUGGGUCAGCGACUUAUAUUCUGUAGCAAGGUUAACCGAAUAGGGGAGCCGCAGGGAAACCGAGUCUUAACUGGGCGUUAAGUUGCAGGGUAUAGACCCGAAACCCGGUGAUCUAGCCAUGGGCAGGUUGAAGGUUGGGUAACACUAACUGGAGGACCGAACCGACUAAUGUUGAAAAAUUAGCGGAUGACUUGUGGCUGGGGGUGAAAGGCCAAUCAAACCGGGAGAUAGCUGGUUCUCCCCGAAAGCUAUUUAGGUAGCGCCUCGUGAACUCAUCUUCGGGGGUAGAGCACUGUUUCGGCUAGGGGGUCAUCCCGACUUACCAACCCGAUGCAAACUGCGAAUACCGAAGAAUGUUAUCACGGGAGACACACGGCGGGUGCUAACGUUCGUCGUGAAGAGGGAAACAACCCAGACCGCCAGCUAAGGUCCCAAAGUCAUGGUUAAGUGGGAAACGAUGUGGGAAGGCCCAGACAGCCAGGAUGUUGGCUUAGAAGCAGCCAUCAUUUAAAGAAAGCGUAAUAGCUCACUGGUCGAGUCGGCCUGCGCGGAAGAUGUAACGGGGCUAAACCAUGCACCGAAGCUGCGGCAGCGA